UUUCGUCAGAGACCAUUCAAGGUGGAUGAAGCCGAAAUCAGAGUCUUAAAACGUCUCGGUGCACGCCGAAAGGCAAUCCUAGCAUUUCCGCCCUCGCAUCAAAAGGCGCAACCCAUUCCAUUAUGCGCGCGGCAGCGAAGGCCUCCUCCGUUGCGAAGGUCGGGCAUCUCCUCCACCGGCGGCUCUCGUCCCACAAGCCCCCUCCUCCCUCCCUCUCCAAAACCCUAACCCACUCCUCGUCCUCCUCCUCCUCCGGCGCCGCCUCCCUCCGCCGUUUCUCCUCCGAUGGCAUCUCCGACCUCCGCGACGGGGUCCUCCUUCUCACCGAGAAAACCUCCUCCAUCCAUACCGACGGAGAGAGGGAAAAGCUCCGCGCCACCGUCUCCGCCCUCGCCGACGAGCUCCUCACCGUCCCCGACCACCAAGAAAUCGCCGGCGUCCUCGACUCCUGCUCCGCCGACGCCCUCUUCCGCCGCUCCCCCAACGGCUUCGCCUCCAUCGAGCUCCUCUCCCACCUCAAGUCCCGCCCGCUCCUCGCCCUCGAGGUCUUCAACUGGCGAAGGAAGCAGCUGGAUGCUGAGUUCCCGAUGGUUUCGGAGGAGUAUGCCAAAGCUAUUGCCCUCGCCGGCCGGGCCAAGAAUGUGGACCUUGCCGCCGACCUCUUCUCCGAAGCCGGAGCUGUGGGCCUGCUGGAGACCUCCCUCUACAACGCCCUGAUGACUGCGUAUAUGUACAAUGGCCUCACCAAGAAGGCUAUCUCCAUCUUUGAGGACCUAAAGGGGGACCACCGCUGCACGCCCACCAUUGUCACCUACAACAUCCUUCUCUCCAUCUAUGGUCGUUCGAUGCUGGUGGACCACAUGGAAGCUGUCCUUCGCACCAUCGAUGAGUCCAAGCUCUCUCGCAACCUCACCACUUACAACACUGUGAUUGCAGCUUAUGUGACUGCAUGGAUGUGGGAUCAGAUGGAGAGCACCUUUCACGCGAUGGAGGAAGGGCCUAUCAACCCUGAUGUCAAUACCCUACUCCUCAUGCUCCGUGGAUAUGCGCACUCAUGUAAUUUGGAGAAGAUGGAGAGAACCUAUGAGCUUGUGAAGGAGCAGGUCAAUGAUCGGCAAGUGCCUUUAAUUAGGGCAAUGAUAUGUGCCUACUGCAAGAGCUCUCAUCCUGAGAGAGUUCAAAAGAUUGGGGCAUUAAUGAAGUUUAUGCCAGAGGAUGAAUAUAGGCCUUGGCUCAAUGUGCUUUUGAUAAGGGUCUAUGCCCAAGAGGGAUUGGUGGAGGCUAUGGAACGGUUCAUCUCGGAGGCAUUCUGUCGAAACACAAUGGUCACAACCUCCGGUGUAAUGCGUUCAAUCAUAUCGAGCUACUUCCAGUGUAAUGCAGUGGAUCGGCUUGCUGGGUUUGUUAAGCAGGCCGAGUAUGCAGGGUGGAGGAUUUGUCGGUCCUUGUAUCAUUGCAAGAUGGUGAUGUAUGGGAAGCAGAACAGAUUGAAGGAGAUGCAUGAGGUUCUGGAUGAGAUGGAGAAUUGUAGGUAUUUUCCAACAAAAAAAACAUUUGUAAUCAUGUACAAGGCAUACUCCACAAUUGGCAGGAAGUUAGAAGCACAAACAGUAAUUGGAAUGAUGUGGAAGCUUGGUCUUGGCUACCCUGGGGAUGCCUUACCUUCCUAACAUUAUAUUAGGGAUUGGAGCAGAUGUAUUUUUUACCCGGCAUUCAACUGGCAGAUAAAGAGAUUUGAUUCCCUUAAAUAAUGAGAUGAUUACUCAGUACUGUGUCAGAGUGGGCUAAGUGGUGAAGCUACACCUUAUCCUUUUCUUCAUCUCUAGGGUCAUAAUACCGCGUAUUUUUUUGCGGUGAGCUGCGAAUCAUCUGGCAGCAAAGUCUUUCAAAACUGUUGGUCUCGUUGGCGGUUUGUCGAUUUGUCGCUGGUCUCACUGGCGACAUGUCGCUGGUUUUUCUGAUGACAUAAACCCUCAGGACAAAUCAAUUGCCAACAUAUAUGCCCUCAUUGGCGAAGUGCUUUACAUAGUCAGAAUCUCUGAUAUGCAAACAACGGACUGCCCAUGGCCAAAAUAAUGCGGUCGUGCAGGGUUAUGGACACCAGCUGCCCCAUUAACAGAUAUGCGAGCCUGUAGAAGAAAUUCCAGGGCAAGUGAUGAAGUCAGAACGUGAGCGCUGCAAGUGAGCUGUUUGAGAACAAGGGGUCGGCAAUCUUACCCAUCACUCGGGCAUAUACCAUCUUCAUACCAGGUGAAGGAACCUGAACCCAAUGGUGCUUGAGUUUUGCAUAUUAACAUGUAUUAUGGACUUGUUAUUCUCUGAAUUUCACUUGAGAAAUCCAUGCAAAGAAUGAGACCUGUGAUUCAGGAAUCAUAUUUGAUUGCGUUGAAAUUUUGUUAAACGGAAAGUUCGAGGCAAUUUGAUAUAUAUUUCUUUCA